UACAGAGGUCUCAAGCGUUGUUCGGAUUCAUUGGGCGUAAAGGGUGCGUAGGUGGCGCCGUAAGUCAGGUGUGAAAUCUCGGGGCUCAACCCCGAAACUGCACUUGAUACUGCGGUGCUGGAGUACUGGAGAGGAGAUUGGAAUUUACGGUGUAGCAGUGAAAUGCGUAGAUAUCGUAAGGAAGACCAGUGGCGAAGGCGAAUCUCUGGACAGUUACUGACACUGAGGCACGAAGGCCAGGGAGCAAACGGG
rnacentral:rRNA from 1 species